GGCAGACGGGUGAGUAAUAUUUGGGCAAUCUGCCCUCAAGAGGGAAACAACCUGCCGAAAGGCGGGCUAAUGUCCCAUAAGACCACGGGAAUGCAUAUUCCAGGGGUAAAAGCUCCGCAAAGGGGCGCUAGAGGAGGAGCCCGAAUCCUAUCAGCUAGUUGGUGAGGUAACGGCUCACCCAAGGCUUUGACAGGGUAGCCGGCCUGAAAAGGGGUGAUCGGGCAACACUGGCACUGAGACACGGGCCAGACUCCUACGGGAGGCAAGCAGUGGGGCAAUUUUGGACAAUGGGGGCCAACCCUGAUCCAGCGACGC
rnacentral:rRNA from 1 species